ensembl:snoRNA
CCUCCUUUUCUUGGUGGGAAGCAGGGCUUGGGCUCUGCUCCCCAUUAUACACGGAGGCAGAGGGAAAGGGCUCCAGCCCUCCCACUGUCGUGUCUUCAGCGCCAGAGGUUCUGGUUCCACCAGUUCUAUCCUCAAAUGCCAGGACACUU